rnacentral:lncRNA from 1 species
GAUGGACUCUGAAACAAAGCCAAGUGUAUGGCUGACACUUAGAAGAAUCUAAGACCAGAUUCAGAAGAAAGUUUGAGUGCAGUUUUAUUAGAAUUUCAACAAAACAAAACAAAACUGCAGGGCCGGCAAGUUGUAAAUCUCAGCAGCUGUCUGGAGGAGGGAGGUGAAGUAGAAGAGAGAAAGCCACGUUGGAUCUAAACAGCCAGAUGAUGGAGCCAUCUGAGGCCAGUAUCAGAGAUUUCUCUAAGUUGCUGUAGCCUAUCUACCUAAAAUGUCUACCAAUACAUUUGGAAGGUGUCUUGACUUAUGACUGUCUUUGUUCUGGUACUAUAAAAUCUUUAUGAAAUGGUUACCACCUUUGAACAUAGUAUUUGUGGUGACUUAAAUCUGUAUUUCUGGGCUUUGGUCACGCACAUUUGGUGACAGAAUAAAUAAUUUCUUAUUUUCAUUGAGGUAAGAACUGUAGGUUACAUCAGUGUGGCAGUAACAAAUUAGCACAAACUUUGUGAUGUGACACGAUACAAAUGUGUUAUCUUUUGGUUCUAUAUUUAGAAGUUCUAAAGUCAAGGUAUUAGCAGAGAUCCAUUCUUAUUACAGGCUCCAUGGGACAAUGACUCUUUGUUCUUUCCAACUGCAAGGAAUCAUUCACACUUUGGAGCCAUAGCCCUUCUAUUCAUCUUCAAAGUAGAAACACAGCAUCUUCAAAUUCUUCAACCCUUUCCUCUUCUGACCCUAACCUUACUGAUUCCCUCUUAUAGUAAAUCUUGUGAUACUUCCUGAGUCUGUCUAGAUAAUUCAGGAUAAUGUUACUACUGCUAAUAUAGUCACAGCUACCAAGUCUUUCUUGCCACAUAAAGUCACAUGUGUAUAUGUUUUGUAAUUAAUAGAUGGUCAUAUCAAGGAAGGAAAAAUCAUUACCUUGUCUCUGCAGGGAAGUAGCAGGGAUGGCUGAACCAUAGAGUAUCAAACAUUAGAACAUAGUAAUACGUUUCCUGAGAUUGUGCCAGAGUCAAAUCUGAUCUUAUUUGGGAGUUCCAGCU